CAAGGCUCUCUGGACUCUUGCUAUAAUCUUUGUCAGUUUUCUUCUCUUCUUUACAAUCUCACCAAGAUAAGGACUGACAGGGUCUUACAGGCAGAUUGGAAGCGAAGAAGGAAAGCUAGGAUUAAGAUGCCAGCACUCAAGCAUCUGCUUCCAAUCUCAACGAUGAACGACAAGCCGCAUCUCGGUGGAGAAAGCACCACUGAUUCCAUAGGCAAUGGUCGCUGGAAGAGAUUCAAGGAAUUUACAUUCAUUGCUGAGGUAAAUAAGCUUUCAUGAGAAAAGAGAAAGAAUGUACAAAAAGCCUAUAAAAGGCGGCCAGCCUACUCAGGACAAUCCCCUGGUUUAAGACCCAACAAAAUAGCCUAUACAAGACUAUGUAUAUACACAAAAUUUGUUCCUACCUCAGGACAGGCCUCGGGUUAGGAACAAAACAAAAAAAAAGCUAGAAGAAAAUGCCCAAAUAGGCGACAAAAACCAAACCAACCACCUUUCCUUGAAUCGAAAAUGGCAAAGACUAAAAAUGGCAGAAAAAACCAUCUCCCCAAAGCAUGAAAACCUCCCUACAUUGUGGAUGGUUAGUGCAUCUUUACACUCCCCUCCAAACAGCCUAUUGUUUCUCUCCCUCCAAAUCCAAUAGAUAGUGGCAUUAAAACACAACUUCACUAAAAAAUGUGUGAGCUUAUCUCUCUUCCAAUUUAAGGAUUAGCCAUGAAUAUAACCAUUCCAUGGCACCGCCCUAUAGCCCAUAGAGCUAAUGGCAAGGAUGCGGCUCCAAAUAGACUUGGAGAAAGGGCAAGAGAAAAAGAGAUGAUCCAAGGUUUCUUGGGCCGAUUUGCAAAAACAACAAAGAGAGUUUUGCGAAUUACCGUAUCUCUCAAGCUUAUCCUUUGUAAACUUUUGAAGUAAGUUACUCUUGAACUUAAUUCGUUCAUUAAAAUAUAUUUCAUCUGCUAUGUUUAUCUUUAGGUUAAAUUCCCUUAUAUUUUGUAUGGUUGAUUCUGAUUUCUUUAGCAUUUAGUUUGAUUAUGAUUGUUUAUAAAUCAAAGGCUACUGAUUUUUUUUUGAGCGUUGUGUAGGAAUUUUCUUUGUGAACUUGAAGUAAGGAUUACUCUCAACUUUGAUUUGAUUAUUUAUUUAAAUAUAUUUCAUUUGCUGUGCUUAUCUCGAGGCUAACUUCUCUUACAUUUUGUGUGAUUGAUUAUUGAUUUAUAAUUAUUUAUUAGUCAAAGACAACUUAUAUGUAUAAUAUAUUGUUUGGAAAAUUAUUGUGCUGGAGUGUAUGUUUAUCACAUGUUGUAGGUUUUUGAUGGGACAAAGAAUGUUGAGAAAACAUCCCGAGACUGUGGGGAUGUUGAAUUAGGUGGAAAUGGUGUUGAGGAAACAUCCCGAGAGGAUGGGGAUGUUGAAUUAGGUGGAAAUGGUGUUGAGAAAACAUCCCGAGAGGAUGGGGAUGUUGAAGUACGUGGAAAUGGUGUUGAGAAAACAUCCGGAGAGGAUGGGGAUGUUGAAUUAGGUGAAAAAGGCAGUGGCACUCCUGCGGCAAACCAUGGAAAAUAUAGCCCUUCUAAACUCCUGUUUUGGUUAAAAUGGAGCUUUUAUAUCUUCAACUUUUUGUUGGUGCUUUUCGUGCUUGUACUGGAUUUGAUCUCCCCUGAGAAUAACACCACUUAUGAUCUAGUGGGUGUGGUGGCAUCUUCGUUCACAUUGGUUUUUGGCAUCAUUGAACUUGUUUUGCGGGCUAAAAAGGAACAAGUAACAUGGAGGAAAAAGGGCAAGAUUUAUUGGUUUUAUGAUGGGAAUGAUAUGCCUUUUGGUACUUCGGCAGACAUAAUUGGAUUGGUUUGCAGCAGCCUUGAGUUUAUUAUGGAGACAGUUACUCGUUUUGCUGAAGAUAAAGUUAAAGAUAAACCUAUCUACGCAAAGUUCUUCCCCGUCAUCUUCGCCUUUUUCCUGUUGGUCACUAAAUGUUUGGAAGAGAUUUGUGCAGACUAGAAGUUUGAAGGCGGUUAUAAUAUUUAGGUGAUGUUUGUGUUUCCUGUUUAUCAAAUAUGCCAGAGUCAAGUUCUGCAGUUCAAGUUCAUAGAGUUAGGUUGCAUUUGUUAAUUUGACAUUAUACUGUUUAGUUUUUGUAACAUUAUUUAGUCUUAUUGAUGUA